rnacentral:rRNA from 1 species
GACGAACGCUGGCGGCAUGCCUAACACAUGCAAGUCGAACGGAGAUUCCUUCGGUAAUCUUAGUGGCGAACGGGUGAGGAACGCGUGGGCAACCUGCCCUCUAGAUGGGGACAACAUCCCGAAAGGGGUGCUAAUACCGAAUGUGACAGCAAUCUCGCAUGAGGAUGCUGUGAAAGAUGGCCUCUAUUUAUAAGCUAUCGCUAGAGGAUGGGCCUGCGUCUGAUUAGCUAGUUGGUGGGGUAACGGCCUACCAAGGCGAUGAUCAGUAGCCGGUCUGAGAGGAUGAGCGGCCACAUUGGAACUGAGACACGGCCCAGACUCCUACGGGAGGCAGCAGUGGGGAAUAUUGGACAAUGGGCGAAAGCCUGACGGAGCAAUACCGCGUGGGUGAAGAAGGACUUCGUGCCGUAAAGCUCUUUUGUUGGGAAAGAAAGGCAGGAUGUUAAAAAAAAGCUGGUAUGACGGGAACUAAAGAAAAAGCCCCGGCCAACUUCGUG